GUGUCAGCAGCCGCGGUAAUACAGAGGUCCCGAGCGUUGUUCGGAUUCACUGGGCGUAAAGGGUGCGUAGGUGGUUAGGUAAGUCUGUUGUGAAAUCCCGGAGCUUAACUCCGGAACUGCAUCGGAUACUAUCUGGCUUGAGGGUUGUAGGGGGGACUGGAAUUCUCGGUGUAGCAGUGAAAUGCGUAGAUAUCGAGAGGAACACCAGUGGCGAAGGCGAGUCCCUGGACAAUACCUGACGCUGAGGCACGAAAGCUAGGGGAGCAAACAGGAUUAGAAACCCUCGUAGUCC
rnacentral:rRNA from 1 species